rnacentral:ribozyme from 12 species
UUUUUUUUUCUUUUUUUUUCCUUCCGUACUACAGCUGAGCUUUUCUCGUUUUUUGUAAAAACCUUCAUCUUUCCUUCUCGAUGGGAACAAGAUGAAAGAAAACACGGCUGUAGAGCACGGCAUCCAUCAAUUCUUUGUCAACUCUUAGGUUUUAAACCAUGGUCGUUGAAAAAAACAACAAU